AUCUAACUAACGAGUCCUAAAAUAGGACGAAACGUGCAUUCUAGAU
rnacentral:hammerhead_ribozyme from 1 species